CGGAGUCUUGGCGCCUUCCCUUCUCACCGCUUCCCGGACUGUUAGAGGAGGAGCGGCUGCUUUGUGCCUCCCAGGCUGCCCAGCGGCGCCGUUGCCGGGGAACGCAGGCGCGGUGGGAAGAGAUGGCGGGAGGCUACGGCUUAGGUGCUGGGGCCGGAGUUGAGUUGGCGAAGAAAAGUUCGGCCUCGUCAUGAAACAACGGAAAGGCCAGGGGCCUGGGGGCGGCCGUGGCCGCAAGAAAGGAGGUUUGAGUGACAUUCCUCCAUCUACAAGCCUACCACCUCUAGUUGAAGGCCAGCUACGCUGCUUUCUGAAACUUACUGUUAGUAAAGUCAUAUGGAAGAUUGCAAAGCCUCCCUCUUGUGUACUUGUCCGAGUGAGAUGGUGGGGAGAAACAUCAGAUGGAACCCUCUUUUGUCCCACGGACACAUUGCAGACUGAACCAAAAGCUGUGAGAACAACUACACGUUAUGCUGUUCGCUGUGGUCCAAAGCAAUUUACCUCUUAUCUAACAGAUAUGGCUGUGCUGGUGCUGGAAGUAAUCACCAAACUUGAUCAUCUUCCAAUUGGUAGAGUUCAGAUCAAUGGAUUAGCCAAGCUUUCUCCAACCCAUCAUAUCAAUGGAUUUUUCAACAUUGUUUCACCAACAUCUAAGAAACUUGGAGAACUCCAGGUCUCACUUGCCCUGGAGCCUCUGUCAGAAACUUAUGACAGCUACAACCCUCUUCUUACCACUGACAUGACAGAAAGUGCACUUUUAUCUGAGGAGGGAUUCAGAGAAUAUACUGAACCCAGCAAUACCCAGUUUCUGGUUCCAUCAAGACCCCACAGGAUAUCUACCACCAAAAUUAAUGGAAAAGAAUUAACAGCCAAUAGUAGUAGAUCAACCACUCCAAGGGGAAAGGACCACUUGUACUUUGCAGAGAAUUCUGAUAGAACAAAGGACUCUUUUUUUGGACUACAGCACCAUCUUAAUUCAGGGCAGAGCUUAGAGUCUAUGUCUCUGAAAGGCAAAGCCCCACAGAAACAGAUGUCUCUUCUCAACAGUUCUGAAUUGCAGCCUCAAAUUAGGACAGUUGCCAAGAGUCACAGUGACUCGUGCAUUCUUUCUUCAAAUAAUCCCCCUACCAAAGACCUUCUUUCGGCUCUGUUGGAACAAGGAAAUAAACUACGUAAUGCCAUGGUGGUUUCUGCAAUGAAAUCAAGCCCAGAUACCAGCAUGUUGUUGGACGAAGUUCAUCCUCCUGUGAAGGAAGAUUUUCUUAAAGCAUCAACACACCUCUCAGAAAGUAUUUUCCCACACCUUAGAAUCAAAGCCUUAUCUAAGAAUCAAUUUAAAGACCACAAUGAAGAUCACCUCCUCCCUCUAACUGAGAACAAAUUUUGGAAACAUGACACAAAAGCUGAUACCAGAGCCAUACAGCUACUAUUGGGCAGUGCUGAAUUUUCCCAAGGUCAGUACUGGGACGGACUAGGCUCUCCUCCAGAUUCUCCAGCUCCUGGGAGUGAUGUGUAUUGCAGCAGUGAGCCGAAUGACCCUCAGUAUGACCAGAGUCUCCUGGAGAACUUAUUUUACACAGUACCUAAAUCUGAUAGCAGCAUAAGUGAUUUCUUCAGUGAAGAUGAUGAUAUUGUCCCUUCUGAAAAAAUGAGCCAAUCGAAAGCUCUUGCCAGAUCUUCUAAGGUUCUGGAGUCAAAUGAUCACAAGAUGAAGAAGAGAGCAGCAGGCAAGAAAAAUAGAAAUUUGGUUGAACAACAAAUGAAAUCAGUAACUCCAGAAGAUGCCCAAGUGAUGACAUUAAGUGUAGACAGGCUGGCCCUUCUGGGUAGAACACACUCAGUCAGAAUCAUCAUUGAAACAAUGGAAGUUCCUCCAGAUAGUCCACAGAUGACCUCUGGCAAAAAAAGCUUUCCUGGGAGACCACCUAAGCUGACAACAAAAAAGCGCACCUUCAUUGUGGAAUAUCACUUUCCUGUGGGCUUUUCCAAAAGUGGAUUGGGAAAGACAACUUUGAUAACUGAGGUUGUUCGACUCGCCUCCAGCAAAACUGAAGAUGGAAUGGUAAAAUUCCAGCAGAGAUUUGUGUUUCCAGUACAGUUUGGUGGUCCAAUGAUAGAACAUUGGUGGAAUUCCAAUCUUAUUUUCAAAAUUUACACAAAGAAAAUACAGAAAAAGCCAGAAGUCAUUGGAUCUGCAUCAUUGCCUUUGAGAGCUGUCAUUCAGUCUGAAUUGCUUUCUUUCAGUGACCAGCUUCCAGUACAACAAGAAAAUGGUCAAGUUCCACUUGGCCCCCUCAAGGUAACUGUGGAGCUUGUUAUAGAUAAUAAGGAUUUCAAUGGUGUCGAGACUAAGUUAAAUAGUAGCACCCCACAUACCCUCCUCUCUACUCUUAUAAGCCCAGAUAAGAAACUGUCAGAACCUAGCCAUCAUGUUACCUGCACCAAAAAUUCACAGAACCUAAAUCAAGUUCAUGAAGAAACUGCAAAGGAAGAACAGAAUUUGGUGCUCUCCAACCCAAAGUCACCAAGCCCUGUUGCACCAAAUCCUUCAACCUUCAUGGCUAUGCCAGCCUCUCACAAUUUGGUAAAGCAGACAAAUGGGUCAACCAAAGAGAGUGCUUUGCUGUUGCAUGUGCUUUUGAUGGUGCCAGAUGGGAAAGAUUUCAUUACUGAAGAAUCUGAGAAACCACCACCAUGCAAUGUUUAUUUAAAUUGCAAACUCUUCAGCACAGAGGAAGUCACCAGAUCUGUCAUCGCAUGGGGCACAACACAGCCAGUCUUUAACUUUUCUCAGGUGAUUCCUGUCUCUCUGUCUCCCAAAUACUUGGAAAGGCUUAAGAACAAUGUGAUGGUAAUCGAAACUUGGAACAAGGUGCGGAGCCCAGGACAGGACAAGCUGCUCGGGCUGGUGAAACUCCCCCUCCAUCAGUUUUACAUGUCAUUCAAAGAUCCCAAGAUUUCUCGCCUGCUGCUUGAUGCUCAGUUCCCAGUUGUUGCUGUCGACAGCUACAUGCCUGUGAUUGAUGUGUUCUCAGGCCAGAAAAAUGGGAGUCUUCGAGUCUUUUUAGCUAUGGGUUCUUCAGAUCAGAUAAUGGCACUACAAAGAUUGAAGAAUGAAGAAGGAACACUUCCUCCCUUCAGCCCGAGGCCAGCCCAUUUACUGGACCAGCUAUCUAAAGCAUCCAAUGCAAUGGCAGAAAACCAAGGAAAUGGACUGAUGGAGCACCACUUUGAGCUCCACGUAGACAAGGUUAAAGGGCUGGUCCCUCUUCAGGCCACAGUCUGGGGAGAAGCAGAUUGUUAUGUUCAGUACUACUUUCCAGUUCAAGACUCACAAUCCAGUGUGUUAAAAGGACCUGAGUUCCUUGAAAAUGGAAUCACUCUGAGGCCUUUCAGAUCUGCAACCACACUCUGUGUUCCAGAUCCCAUCUUUAAUAGUCAGCACCAUCACUCUCUCCUGUUGCCAACAGAAGUUCCAGUGCAAAGGCUCCUACUCAGUGCCUUCUCUGCACAAGCACUUGUGCCCGGAGGUGGAGUCCACUUUGAAAUCUGGUGCAGAUACUAUUAUCCUAAUGUGAGAGACCAGAUGGUCGCCAAAGGAACCUUGCCAUUAUCGAGGAUCUGUGCCAUGGUAACCAUGCAGCACCGUGAGGAUGUGGGAAUGCAGACCUUUAACCUCCCUUUAACCCCCAGGCUUGAGAAUAGGAAAGAAUUGAGGAACCAGUCAUCAGGUUUACUAGAUGUGGGCCUGAGGUACAGGCGUACUCCAAGGACAGCAGAGGGAGUUCUUGCUGGCCGAGCUGUCUCUAUCUCAGUCCAGAUUAUCCGAGCCUGUGGUCUGCAAGCAGCAGCCAAGGCUUUGGCUGAGCAGGAACCCGCUCUACAGUUUAGUGCCUCAGUAGGGGUCAAUGCCUUUGUCACCGUUCAUCUCUCCUUCCUGCCCAAGGGAGAACAGCGCCAAACCCGCCCUGUGGCCUGUACCUUCUGCCCUGAGUUCUCCCAUCACACUGAGUUCUCAUGUAACUUAGUAACUCAGCACUGCAGUGGAGAGGCCUGUUUCCUGGCAGAGCUGUUGGAGUUUGCAGAGGUCACUUUUGCCAUUUAUCAUGAAGAUACCAAGUCAGUCAGUGAUAUAACCAGUAUCCAGUCAUUAAAAAAGUAUCUGCUUGGAGUAGUAAAGGUUCCAACAAAAGAAUUGCUAAUCAAGAGGUCUGGGAUCACAGGAUGGUAUCCUAUUGUUUCACCAGAAGAUGGGGCCAUGCCUCAUGGCUUGGAGCUCAUGCAGAAGAUUGUGGGUGGUCUGGAGCUUUCGGUUUCCUUCACCCAUCCAGGAGACAGAGAACGGGUGUUGGAAGCUGCUGAACUAUUGGGCUGGAGCUUUGAGAAUAACCUGAAGGAUCUUGUCAAGAUGGAUGAGGAGGAGCCAGCCACUAUCACCAUCUCCACACCAAGGCUCUGGCUGCCCAUCCAUUGCGUGCUGCUUGCUGGCCAGAAGCACAUUCAUAAGAGCACAUAUUGCUACCUCCGCUACAAGCUGUAUGAUCAUGAAUGCUUUUGGACUCCUCUCAAGAAACCUAAGGAAUCUACAAACCAAAAGCAGGUCAUAGUUACUUUUAAGGCAUCCAAAAAAGCAGAAAUCUUUAGGGGCCCGUCACUGCUUUGGUACUUCAGGGAGGAGAGAUUAGAGAUCCAAGUGUGGCGGGCUUAUGGCAAUGAAAAUGUGGAGAGGCCCCACAAUACGGACAGCUGGAUUGGCUCAGCCUAUGUGGACCUGUCCAGACUUGGGGAGAGGACAGCAAGGACACUGACUAUCAGUGGUGUGUAUCCUCUCUUUGGACGAAAUGCUUCCAAUCUCUCAGGAGCUGCCUUGCGAGUUCAUGUGGUUCUUUCCUCUCUCUCCCCACACCCUGGGCCCACUCAUGAGCUGGACUCCAUGGACUGCAGCAGCCACAGUGAGUCUGAGCAACUCCCCAGAAGGAAGGAUGAGAUCCAACUCUCGGUACCACCUGACCACCAGAAGCCUCCCACCUGCACCCAGGUUCCCUGCGACAUCACCACAGCUGAAGUCUGCCCAGCCCAGGAGGGUCCUGCUGACUUGCACGUAACUUUUGCAGUCAGCAUCCUGGUGGAAAGAGCAAUGCACUUAAGCUUGAAAGGGACCCCCUUGACAGAGCGGAAGGUAUCAAUACCCAGUUGUUGUGUGUCCUUUGCAACAGCUGAUGAGCCAUCUCCUGUCUACACCCCAGUGGUUAAAAACACAGAUUCCCCCAUCUGGAAUUUUCAACAGCAAUCAAGACUAUCAAAAGAGCUUCUUUUGGACCCACAACAAACUCUGGUCUUCAAAGUUUGGCAUAAAGGAGACGAGGAAAGGGUGAUUGGCUUUGCCUCGGUGGACCUCUCCCCGCUUCUCUCUGGCUUCCAGUUUGUCUGUGGCUGGUACAACAUCACAGACUUCAGUGGAGAGUGCCAGGGGCAGGUAAAAGUCGCUGUCUCCCCUAUGGAGAGUUUGAUGCACUUCAAAGAAGAAAGGCAAGCAAGACGUGGGGUGGAGACCCCAGGAUCACUGAUCCCAAUAUACCGUCCCUUUUCCUUCCCUGUCUCUGAUGUGUAUGCUGCAUUCCCCAGCUGCAUUGCUAGACAGACUCCAGAACAACUUGUUCACACCUCUCCAAAAGAGCUUGGUUUCUCCUCCCCUGGGAGAAGUGGUGCUGCAAGAAGCCAGGCAUCACGGCAUGAAGAGCAUGUGCAGAACAUCCGCCGAUUUCAUGAAUCCCUGCAGCAGGGAGAGGCAGUCUCGCCAAGUGAUGACAAACUGACCACACCUCCCUGGUCUUCCCAUACUUCCAUUCUGACUUCUCUGAGGAGGAAUCUGAGUGAGCUAGAUCAGAUUCAGAGGUACUUCAGCCAGAAGCUCACCAAGCCUUUACUUCCCCUCAGUCCCCAGACUCAGACGAUCUUGCAGUGCCAACAGAGCCAUGGGGACUCUUGUGGGCCAGAAGCCAGCAGACUAGAUCCUGAGAGCCAGUGCAUCCUGGAGAAAUCCAAUAACCUGGUGUUGCAAGUCAGCUCCUUAAUCACGGAUCUGCAGACCAUCACCAGGAAUUCUCAAGCAUCUUUGAGUUCUCGCCAAGCCAGGAGUAGAAGCAGAGAAGUUACCACUCUCCCAGAUCCUCAGAACACAGGAGCCAUGCAAGAACAAAGCACAAUUCCUGACCUGCCCGUGUCAAGAGCUCCAGAUGAGGGUGCAGACUCCCCUCCUCCCCGUACUCCAGAAGAGCCUUCGAGUGGAGGAGUAAUGCUCCAUGAGUCCCUUGGACACACAAUACCCAUUACAAGGAUGCAGAGCAAUGAAGACACUGAGGCAGGCCCAGCCUACAGUGAUGAAGACUAUGAAGAAGACAUCAUUGAGCCCAGGACACUCAAUGAGAUCACCACCAUAACAGACAAAACUAGCCCUUGGUCCAGUUUUGUGUCAGACUCAAGUGAGAUCAUUAGCCUUCAUCCUGAUGAGGUGCAGAGGGUAGGUCCCUCUUGUCCUUCUCCUGAGCCCUGCCUUAGAGAGGAGCUCAGGGUCAGAAGUAGCUUUCUGUCCAGUCCAGAAAGAGCUGUCAACUCCCACCUGCCUAGGCAGGGUUCUGCUAGCCAAAGUCUUGUUCCUUGUGAGGGUAAGAGCCCUAAGAUCUGGGGUGGAGAGCCUGCCUCAACAGACCCUCAACUCAUCCCAGGUGUGACACUCUCAAGAGCCCCAAAGAACACCACUUGCUCACCAAGGGCAGAUCAGGACCAGGAGCCCAAGCCACAGGUCCAGGCUGAGGAUGAAGCUGCCUCCAGUGAGCUAAGUGACUCUGCUAAUAGCUUGGAGAAAUUCCCUCUACACGUAGCCUCCCAGAACAAAAGGGAAAAUCAUAAGGGGCUACCCAUCAACUGCCCUGACAUCAGGCAGAAGCAGGCGACAUCUGAAUCAGAGGUUUCCACAAAGCAGAAUCUCCUUCUGUAUCCUUUGACGGUUUCCCACAAGUAGCCCAAUGUAGGCAUUUUGGAUGCUGGUGCUUAGGCCAGCCUAGUGGGAAUGAGCAGUGGCUACCACCUUCAUGGGAUUCACUGAGGGGCAUGGGAAGAUCCUUCAAAAGACUCACCUGCACUGACAAGGUGCUCCAAUUCUCCCAUUAACACCAGCCCUCUGAAGCACAGUGUUUUUAACUGGGUUUAGGUGUUGGGAGCACAUUCAUUAGCCUGUCCUGGUAUAUUGGGUAUUUUACAGCUGACCCUAGGAAGGAGACCUUUAAUCUCAGUUGAAAUAGAAGUGGAGGGUGCAGAUGGGAAAGAAGAGUACUAACACUGAGCAUUUACUUUGUGCCAGGCACUAGACAUACAUUUUUUACUCAGUCAUCUCAAGUCUUUAAGCAUCAGCUGACUAUCCAGCAGAGUCCCCAGAAGCCAGAGCAGCAACAGCAUCGGCCCUGCCUCACCAGGGCCUCUGAAGAAGAGUCAGGGACUUGAACCAAAGCAGGAAAUGCUGCAUUUCAUUCAUUUGGUGGAUAUUUAUUGAACACGAACUGUGUCCCAGGUGCUAUGUCAGGUGACCAGAAUGUGGCUGUGAAAGAGAUCAUCUAUGCCCUCUUGGAGUUCAAAGUCUUGCAUGGGAGAACGAUGAUAAGCCAAUUUGAAUCAGAACCAUACUUAGCUUAUUGAGCAGAAACAAAAAAUUAAACAUCAGAAUGGCCCCAUCCCUCCUCCCAAACUGAAAAAGUGCCUUGAACAAAUGUUCUCAUCACAGUGCUGGAUAUCUGCAGGGUGUACAAAGGAGAAGCACAAGAUCCAGUGUCUGCCCCCAAGGGCUUACAUCCAGACUGCGCGGACCAGCUGUGCCCACUUAGGCAGAACCCUCAUUUCUGGGUAUAAGCAGAAAAGAACCAGGGGGACCCUCCUUUUUUACUAGGCAUCUCCCUCCGAUCUAAGACACUGCCCCUUGGAGCCACCUUGUCUGAAGGCCUCAUGUAGUGCUCUAGGGAAGUAGUGAGGUCACUGAUGGAAACUAUGCCAUCUUUGCCUUUGAGAAGUUUGGGGGGAUUUUGAGAAAAACACAUUGAGAUUCAUAUCGCACUAAAGCAUCAAGCAUUAUCCUGUGUUGCAAACUCUGCUGUAGAAGGAGUGAUCACUGUGGGCUAAGAUCAGGAGAAAGCUUCCCAGAGGAGGUGGGAUUUAAACUG